GCAUAUCAAUAAGCGGAGGAAAAGAAACCAACAGGGAUUGCCUCAGUAACGGCGAGUGAAGCGGCAACAGCUCAAAUUUGAAAUCUGGCCUCUUUCGGGGUCCGAGUUGUAAUUUGGAGAGGAUGCUUCGGGCGUGGCUCCGGUCUAAGUUCCUUGGAACAGGACGUCAUAGAGGGUGAGAAUCCCGUAUGUGACUGGAAGCCUCCGUCCAUGUGAAGCUCCUUCGACGAGUCGAGUUGUUUGGGAAUGCAGCUCAAAAUGGGUGGUAAAUUUCAUCUAAAGCUAAAUACUGGCCAGAGACCGAUAGCGCACAAGUAGAGUGAUCGAAAGAUGAAAAGCACUUUGGAAAGAGAGUUAAAAAGUACGUGAAAUUGUUGAAAGGGAAGCGCUUGCAACCAGACUUGCUCGCGGUUGCUCAGCCGGUGUUCUUCACCGGUGCACUCUUCCGCGAUCAGGCCAGCAUCGGUUUGGGCGGCUGGACAAAGGCCUCAGGAAUGUAGCUCCUUUCGGGGAGUGUUAUAGCCUGGGGUGUAAUGCAGCCUGCCUGGACCGAGNACCGCGCUUCGGCUAGGAUGCUGGCGUAAUGGUUGUAAGCGACCCGUCUUGAAACACGGACCA
rnacentral:rRNA from 2 species